UACGAAGGGGGCUAGCGUUGUUCGGAUUUACUGGGCGUAAAGCGCACGUAGGCGGUUCGUUGUGUCGGCGGUGAAAGCCCCGGGCUUAACCUGGGAAUGGCCGUUGAAACUGGCGAACUGGAGUGUGGCAGAGGGGGGUGGAAUUCCGCGUGUAGCAGUGAAAUGCGUAGAGAUGCGGAGGAACACCGAUGGCGAAGGCAGCCCCCUGGGCUAACACUGACGCUCAGGCACGAAAGCGUGGGGAGCAAACAGG
rnacentral:rRNA from 1 species